rnacentral:rRNA from 1 species
GAUGAACGCUGGCGGCGUGCCUAAUACAUGCAAGUCGAGCGAACAGACGAGGAGCUUGCUCCUCUGACGUUAGCGGCGGACGGGUGAGUAACACGUGGAUAACCUACCUAUAAGACUGGGAUAACUUCGGGAAACCGGAGCUAAUACCGGAUAAUAUAUUGAACCGCAUGGUUCAAUAGUGAAAGACGGUUUUGCUGUCACUUAUAGAUGGAUCCGCGCCGCAUUAGCUAGUUGGGAAGGUAACGGCUUACCAAGGCAACGAUGCGUAGCCGACCUGAGAGGGGGAUCGGCCACCCGGGAACUGGAACAGCGACCAGGCGACUACGGGAGGGAGCAGUAGGGAACCUGCCGCAGUGGGGGAAAGCAUUGCGGAGCAACGCGGCGUGAGUUACAGAGGUCUCGGGUGCGUAAAACCCUGUUUUGAGGGGAAAACAAAUGUGAAGUAACUAGGCACGUCUUUACGGGUCCUAAGUAGAGAGGCACGGCUAACUUCGGG